rnacentral:rRNA from 1 species
CACGUGGUAUCCUGUCUGAAUAUGGGGGGACCAUCCUCCAAGGCUAAAUACUCCUGACUGACCGAUAGUGAACCAGUACCGUGAGGGAAAGGCGAAAAGAACCCCGGCGAGGGGAGUGAAAAAGAACCUGAAACCGUGUACGUACAAGCAGUGGGAGCACAGAGCAAUCUGUGUGACUGCGUACCUUUUGUAUAAUGGGUCAGCGACUUAUAUUCUGUAGCAAGGUUAACCGAAUAGGGGAGCCGAAGGGAAACCGAGUCUUAACUGGGCGUUAAGUUGCAGGGUAUAGACCCGAAACCCGGUGAUCUAGCCAUGGGCAGGUUGAAGGUUGGGUAACACUAACUGGAGGACCGAACCGACUAAUGUUGAAAAAUUAGCGGAUGACUUGUGGCUGGGGGUGAAAGGCCAAUCAAACCGGGAGAUAGCUGGUUCUCCCCGAAAGCUAUUUAGGUAGCGCCUCGUGAAUUCAUCUCCGGGGGUAGAGCACUGUUUCGGCAAGGGGGUCAUCCCGACUUACCAACCCGAUGCAAACUGCGAAUACCGGAGAAUGUUAUCACGGGAGACACACGGCGGGUGCUAACGUCCGUCGUGAAGAGGGAAACAACCCAGACCGCCAGCUAAGGUCCCAAAGUCAUGGUUAAGUGGGAAACGAUGUGGGAAGGCCCAGACAGCCAGGAUGUUGGCUUAGAAGCAGCCAUCAUUUAAAGAAAGCGUAAUAGCUCACUGGUCGAGUCGGCCUGCGCGGAAGAUGUAACGGGGCUAAACCAUGCACCGAAGCUGCGGCAGCGACACUGUGUGUUGUUGGGUAGGGGAGCGU